rnacentral:lncRNA from 1 species
AAAACUAGGUAAUUACCCGUGCGUUGCAUCGGGGGCAUAAAUAUCCAGUUGGUUUCACAUCAAUUGUGUUUUGUUUAGGAUCCUCAUGCACAUCAAAUAGCAUUGUCGAAUUUGAUAACCUUGAAAUCCUCCUCCUUUGUCUUCCCAUAUUUGUCUCCCCAAUCCAUCAUCACCAUUGUCGUUAAUGGUAUAUCCGGCUUACAAUCAUCCAACCCUUCGACAAUACCAAGGUAUGUCGCGAACGGACAAGCGCCAAGUCAACAUGCUGAUUACUGUAAAAAUACAUCAGAUUGACGUCAAAUAAUAAAAAAUGUAGAAAUAAAUUUUGAUUCAUAGCUAGUACAAAUGUAGAAGAAUAAACCAUCUAAAAUGUGUGGUACGUGGUUUGCUUGCAAACAUUCUUAUAUGUCUAUGUUUUUGAACAUAAGUAAGAUAAGAUCCAUUGUGCAUGACGUAUGAAAUAUAUCAAAACAGAAGUUGGAUGGAUGGAUGUGUAAUUGAUCCAGUGCUGCAUAGAUCGAAAAUAUUCGACAAAGUGUCGGGCUGUAUUAUUUAGACCAUUCACAUCCAUCAACCGCAUGGGAAAAUAUUGUAGUGAACCCCUCUAUGCUGAACCCCGCAGUUCCGAAUCUACAUCACCUUGGCACUCAAUAGCGAAGCCGGCGACUGAAUUUGCAUAAUAGAAAACAGCAGCCCCAUCUAAGUUAAUUUGUCUAGUAGAGAAGUACCUGAUGCCGGGGACAAGAGUGACGGCACACCCAGAGCGGCUAGGCGGGCACGCAGCAGCUAAAGCUCGGAGUAACCACCUUGGCGAGCAGGCUGUCCAAGGCGAGUCGUUUGAUCGG